rnacentral:rRNA from 1 species
UACGGAGGGUGCAAGCGUUGUUCGGAAUCAUUGGGCGUAAAGCGCGCGCAGGCGGUGAAGUCAGUCUGUGGGUGAAAUGCCGGGGCUCAACCCCGAGCGUGCCCAGGAUACUGCUUUACUGGAGACACGUAGAGGCUGGCGGAAUUCCGGGUGUAGCGGUGGAAUGCGUAGAGAUCCGGAAGAACACCGGAGGCGAAGGCGGCCAAGCUGGGCGUGAUCGUGGACGCUGAGGCGCGAAGGCGUGGGGAGCGAACGAGGG